rnacentral:rRNA from 1 species
GACAGAGGCCUCAAGCGUUAGGCGGAAUCACUGGGCUUAAAGCGUGUGUAGGCGGAUCGUUAAGUGUCUUGUGAAAUCCCACGGCUCACCCGUGGAACUGCUGGGCAUACUGGCGAUCUUGGGCCAACUAGGGGCAACUGGAACAAGCGGUGGAGCGGUGAAAUGCGUAGAUGUCGCUUGGAACGCCGAAGGUGAAAACAGGUUGCUGGGGUUGUGCCGACGCUGAGACACGAAAGCCAGGGGAGCAAACGGG